rnacentral:rRNA from 1 species
UGGGGAAUAUUGCACAAUGGGCGCAAGCCUGAUGCAGCAACGCCGCGUGAACGAUGAAGGUCUUCGGAUCGUAAAGUUCUGUUGCAGGGGAAGAUAAUGACGGUACCCUGUGAGGAAGCCCCGGCUAACUACGUGCCAGCAGCCGCGGUAAUACGUAGGGGGCUAGCGUUAUCCGGAUUUACUGGGCGUAAAGGGUGCGUAGGUGGUCUUUCAAGUCGGUGGUUAAAGGCUACGGCUCAACCGUAGUUAGCCUCCGAAACUGGAAGACUUGAGUGCAGAAGAGGAAAGUGGAAUUCCCAGUGUAGCGGUGAAAUGCGUAGAUAUUGGGAGGAACACCAGUAGCGAAGGCGGCUUUCUGGACUGCAACUGACACUGAGGCACGAAAGCGUGGGUAGCAAACAGG